UACGAAGGGUGCAAACGUUGCUCGGAAUCAUUGGGCGUAAAGCGCACGUAGGCGGCUUGCCAAGUCGGACGUGAAAUCCCUCAGCUCAACUGAGGACGUGCAUCCGAAACUGGCGAGCUUGAGUACUGAAGAGGAUCGCGGAAUUCCCGGUGUAGAGGUGAAAUUCGUAGAUAUCGGGAGGAACACCAGUGGCGAAGGCGGCGAUCUGGGCAGAUACUGACGCUGAGGUGCGAAAGCAUGGGGAGCAAACAGG
rnacentral:rRNA from 1 species